rnacentral:misc_RNA from 1 species
AAGUCGUAACAAGGUCUCCGUAGGUGAACCUGCGGAGGGAUCAUUACUGAGUGAGGGAGCAAUCCCGACCUCCAACCCUUUGUGAACGCAUCAUGUUGCUUCGGGGGCGACCCUGUCCGCGAGGACAUUCCCCCCGGAGGUCAUCAAAACACUGCAUUCUUACGUCGGAGUAAAAAGUUAAUUUAAUAAAACUUUCAACAACGGAUCUCUUGGUUCUG